CCAACAGUGUGACCAAAGGUUGUCACAGAAAUGCAGUGAACAAAUAUUGAAAGUCACUUUUAUAUGCUUUUUUUUUUUUUCACAGACUACCAGGGUGGACUGAGUCUUUGAAAAGCCAAGUCACCAUUCCAGCCUUCAGGACAGAUGAAAAAUCUCUAUACUUUUCCACCGUAGAAUCUAGGGGCCUGGGCUCUCCUUGAGGGACCAUGUGGAUAAGCAUCAUCACCCUGGGCUUCACCCAGAGGCUUUCUAAAUAGAAGUAAGAUUUUAAGACAAAUGUCAUUGCAAAUAUUUCUUUCUCCCUCUACUGUGGUGCAGAUGGGAUAACUUUUACAUUAU
rnacentral:lncRNA from 1 species